GCUCACUCCACUCUGUUUUCUCUUUUCUGUCUCUCCAUCACGUAUUUGUUCAUCAUAGUGAACAUUGUAUUUACUUCCACUGUACUCUCUUUUCAGUAACUAAUUUACCUAUUUUGUUGAAGGGGGAGUUCAUGUGAAAUGCUCCAUUAACAUCAGGGAAAGAGAUGUUUAAAACCUUAAAGCAGUGUCAUCAUCAACAUCUCUUUUCUUGUGGUGAAGUCAUCUGCUACUGUAUGCUUCUGUGAACUCUCAACCAUUCUUCAAGCUGGCAACUUGACACAAGCUCGAGUUUUCUGGACAGAGGGAUCACAUUUGAAAAGAUGCUUUUAUUAGAACACCUGUAGGCAUUCUACGAAGCCUUUCAUGGAUGCCCUACUGAGAGCAAGCAAUGGGCCGCGAGAUGACUACGAAAAGACAGGCCCUGAGAAAUUAGAAGUGCCCCAGGAAAUCUACCAGUAGAGAAAAUGGAAUGGCUGAAGUCUGGAGGCAUCCAGAAGAGAAAUUUGUUUCCUAGAAGAAGAUUUACAAUCUGUCAGCUGACCUUGCUGCUGAGAUGGACCCUGAAGACCAGACUGAGAAUUGAGACAGUGGUGGGCAGGGGACCACGUCUUGCUGUAUUGUUUAGACCUUUCAUAAACAGGUGAAAAACUCAGAAGGUGUCUAAACUCACUGGACUGUCUUGAAGAAAGCAACAUUCUGCAUGGCAUUUGCAUGAUUAUUAUCCAAUAAUUUGUGAUCAGUGACUCUGAAGUACAUAUUGAAAUGUAAAUUAUGAUCAAGUAGUUUGAUAUAAGGAGAAACAUAAAAAAGAUAAAAGAAAAGAAAAAUGUUAGGGAUCGAAGAGGUGUAAGACAAGGAGGAUAUAAAUAGAGUAGAGAGACAUGAGAAAGAGUUAGAGAGAGACAGAAAAAAGAGAGAGACAGAAUGAGAAUAUAAUGUUGAGGAACAAAUUUCAGCAAGACUCUUAACAACGAGAUGCUGGUUACUCCUAUGAAAUUAUUAUUAUUUUUCCUUAAUUAGAAAUGACAUCUGUUGUGAACAAGUUUCCUCUGUAGUCCCUGGGAAUUGUUUCUCGUCCCUGUACACAUGCCUCUACCAUGAAAACACCAGUAUUGUUCAGGACUAUGUGUUUAGGUUGAUAGAGGCUGAGAUCGUGGUGGUGGCUAAUUUGCACUUUAAUUUCUUACUCUGUACCCCUCUGGCCAGAAAAGAUGUCAUGAAAACUAGUUGUCUAAAAUCUGUUCAUCCCUUGGGAUUCGUUGUAUUUGUUUAUUCUUUGUUGUAUUUGUUUAUUCUUUCCAAUUUCAGGGCAUUGCUAUGAAUUUUCUGCUGCCUGCUUGUUUGUAUAUUAUAUUCAUACAAAAUUAAAACAAAGAUUAG